rnacentral:rRNA from 1 species
UACAGAGGGUGCGAGCGUUGUCCGGAAUCACUGGGCGUAAAGGGCGCGUAGGUGGCGUCGCAAGUCGAUGGUGAAAGCUCGGCGCUCAACGCCGAGUCGGCCCUUGAUACUGCGAGGCUGGAGCACUGUAGAGGCUAAUGGAAUUCCGGGUGUAGCGGUGGAAUGCGUAGAGAUCCGGGAAGAACACCGGUGGCGAAGGCGGGUUAGCUGGGCAGUUGGCUGACACUGGAGGCGCGACAGCGUGGGGAGCAAACAGG